rnacentral:rRNA from 1 species
AGCGAACGCUGGCGGCAGGCCUAACACAUGCAAGUCGAACGAACCUUUCGGGGUUAGUGGCGGACGGGUGAGUAACGCGUGGGAACGUGCCCUUUGCUUCGGAAUAGCCCUGGGAAACUGGGAGUAAUACCGGAUGAGCCCUUUGGGGGAAAGAUUUAUCGGCGAAGGAUCGGCCCGCGUUGGAUUAGGUAGUUGGUGGGGUAAUGGCCUACCAAGCCGACGAUCCAUAGCUGGUUUGAGAGGAUGAUCAGCCACACUGGGACUGAGACACGGCCCAGACUCCUACGGGAGGCAGCAGUGGGGAAUCUUAGACAAUGGGGGAAACCCUGAUCUAGCCAUGCCGCGUGAGCGAUGAAGGCCUUAGGGUUGUAAAGCUCUUUCAGCUGGGAAGAUAAUGACGGUACCAGCAGAAGAAGCCCCGGCUAACUCCGUG